GGGUGGGGCCUGUAGCUCAGAGGAUUAGAGCACGUGGCUACUAACCACAUAUCGGGGGUUUGAAUCCAUCCUCUCCCU